rnacentral:rRNA from 1 species
UAGGGAAUAUUGGUCAAUGGGGGCAACCCUGAACCAGCCAUGCCGCGUGAGGGAAGACGGCCUUCUGGGUUGUAAACCUCUUUUAUACAGGAAGAGCUAAGGGAUGCGUCCCUGAAUGACUGUACUGUACGAAUAAGCACCGGCUAACUCCGUGCCAGCAGCCGCGGUAAUACGGAGGGUGCAAGCGUUGUCCGGAAUUAUUGGGUUUAAAGGGUGCGUAGGCGGGCCGAUAAGUCAGAGGUGAAAUCCUGCAGCUUAACUGUAGAACUGCCUUUGAUACUGUUGGUCUUGAGUACGGUUGAGGUAGGCGGAAUUGACGGUGUAGCGGUGAAAUGCAUAGAUAUCGUCAAGAACACCAAUUGCGUAGGCAGCUUACUGGACCGUAACUGACGCUGAGGCACGAAAGCGUGGGGAGCGAACA